CUUUAAUCUGGGGCAUUUGAAACGUAAGUAAGUGACUGGUGCGGCAGCCCUCCCUGUGCAGUUCAAAUGUGUGAGUCACAGCCUUGGAGAGCAGGAAGCCGGCAAGGAAUGUGGUGACGUGGUUUCAGGAUCCAUCUGGCAGAGGUCUGUGAUCAGCCUGUUGGAAAACCCACCUCUGGGCACGGUUGCACGAAUGGAGGUUCUGAGCAGGAGGUGGGCCUGAUCAAAGUUGUUUAAUCUGACUUUUAAGGACGGAAAUACUGGAACUCUGGAACCCUGUUGAGAUGCAAUUGCAGGAAUCUAAAUAAAAGGUUUUUAGGUGCACUGCACAGUUUGGAAACUGAGUUAUACGGUGGCCUAAGCCAUAGACAAGCACUGCCGAGGUUAUAUACCCUGAUGUCCACCCUUGAACUAUGGUAUACAUGCUCUGCAUAUCAACA
rnacentral:lncRNA from 1 species